AUUGAACGCUGGCGGCAGGCUUAACACAUGCAAGUCGAGCGGAGAUGAGGUGCCUGCACCUUAUCUUAGCGGCGGACGGGUGAGUAAUGCUUAGGAAUCUGCCUAUUAGUGGGGGACAACAUUCCGAAAGGAAUGCUAAUACCGCAUACGUCCUACGGGAGAAAGCAGGGGAUCUUCGGACCUUGCGCUAAUAGAUGAGCCUAAGUGGGAUUAGCUGGUUGGUGGGGUAAAGGCCUACCAAGGCGACGAUCUGUAGCGGGUCUGAGAGGAUGAUCCGCCACACUGGGACUGAGAAACGGCCCAGACUCCUACGGGAGGCAGCAGUGGGGAAUAUUGGACAAUGGGGGGAACCCUGAUCCAGCCAUGCCGCGUGUGUGAAGAAGGCCUUAUGGUUGUAAAGCACUUUAAGCGAGGAGGAGGCUACUGAGACUAAUACUCUUGGAUAGUGGACGUUACUCGCAGAAUAAGCACCGGCUAACUCUGUGCCAGCAGCCGCCGUAAGAC
rnacentral:rRNA from 1 species